AUGGCACAAUAAUAUUUAAGUCCACUGCUGACCUAAAAUACAUAUAUACAUUGUAAAAGCUGAUAAUAUAAUAAUAUCGGCACCGGUACGAAAAAGUAAUGAAAACUUACAAAUCAGAACAGAGCAAGUUUAAAUCCUGAGGUAUAAAGUAUCUCAUAUGCGGAGACAAAUCAACAAAAGGAUCAUUAUCGUUUUCAAAAUUGUCAAAUUCUUUUAACCUGCAAAAUAUAAAAAGAUAAACUAUUGUUAAAUCUUUGUGUAAUUAAUGCACGCAUUAUUGGAGUAUCUACCCAAACAACGCGGCAUUCUUUAUGGAGCAUUUCUGCAAACCAAUCAAAAGCACCGACCUCGGCUACAUAAUUCCAUUGCAUGCCAUCAUACC